AAAAAUUUCAUUUUCCACACUUACUCAAAAUUUUGAUUUUCCAAAAUCCUAUUCUCUCGUUCCAUUCUCAAAAAUUUUCCAACACUCUUCCAACAGCCUUCCCCCGCUAAGUUCUAGAGUCUCUUGCCCCCUGAGACCACCCUCUUCCAACACUCUGAAGCACAAGCUCGCCACCACCGCCGAUGCUCUAACCGACACCCAUAACCUAGCGUUCACUAUCGCGCCCUUCACUAUUAGCCAUAGCCGCCUCCGCGCAAGGAUUUGAAACUUUUUUCCGCAAACCCUACCUCUCUCCUCUUUCAAUCUCGUCUUUGUUUUACUUUAAUUUUGG
rnacentral:lncRNA from 1 species